rnacentral:tRNA from 1 species
GGGGAUUUAGCUCAGUGGUAGAGCGCUUGCCUAGGAAGCGUAAGGCCCUGGGUUCGGUCCCCAGCUCCU